UUGACGGGGCCGCACAAGCGGUGGAGCAUGUGGUUAAUUCGAAGCAACGCGAAGAACCUUACCAGGUCUUGACAUCCCCUGACAACCCAGAGAUUGGGCGUUCCCCUUCGGGGGACAGGGUGACAGGUGGCGCAUGGUUGUCGUCAGCUCGUGUCGUGAGAUGUUGGGUUAAGUCCCGCAACGAGCGCAACCCCUAUUGUUAGUUGCCAUCAUUCAGUUGGGCACUCUAGCGAGACUGCCGGUAAUAAACCGGAGGAAGGUGGGGAUGACGUCAAAUCAUCAUGCCCCUUAUGACCUGGGCUACACACGUGCUACAAUGGUUGGUACAACGAGUUGCGAGUCGGUGACGGCGAGCUAAUCUCUUAAAGCCAAUCUCAGUUCGGAUUGUAGGCUGCAACUCGCCUACAUGAAGUCGGAAUCGCUAGUAAUCGCGGAUCAGCACGCCGCGGUGAAUACGUUCCCGGGCCUU
rnacentral:rRNA from 1 species